UGGUUUAUGAAGUUGAAGGAUGAAACUUGAACGAACACAAUGUUGAGGUUUGUAAAGUGAAGCCUAAGACAAGUUUGAGGGGGUAAUAUGGACUUCUCUCAAACUAUAUUAUCAGAGGACAAUGAGGGCCUUGAAGACAAUGACAUCGAUGAGUUUCUCCUGGUUCUGUUUUGUUGUAGGCGAAGUUCUUAAUUAUAAUUAUCAAUGCAUUUUUUUUCUUAAGGAUGCAGUGACAUGCAAGGCGAGGCAAAUUGAAGCCAAAACAGCAGGACGGUCGGAAUGUGCCAUUUUUUCUAUAUAGGGCAGGGGGUGGUUCUUCAAUCUUCAGGGAAUCAAGCGGUAGCACCGGAUGCUGACAUGCAUGGAAGCAGUAAACAUUGAUAGGAAUACAAGCAUUGGAGUACUCGCCAUGUUCGAGGAAUUCGUAGCUGAUGGCGGCAUCAUCAUGGAGCAGGCACCAUCUUCUCCUCUAUUUAAACUGUAGUACUUCAUGUACUCCC